rnacentral:rRNA from 1 species
GAUACCCCUGUAGUCCUGGCCGUAAACGAUGAACACUUGGUGUCGGGGGAAUCGACCCCCUCGGUGUCGUAGCCAACGCGUUAAGUGUUCCGCCUGGGGAGUACGCACGCAAGUGUGAAACUCAAAGGAAUUGACGGGGGCCCGCACAAGCGGUGGAGUAUGUGGUUUAAUUCGAUGCAACGCGAAGAACCUUACCAGGGCUUGACAUCCUGCGAAUCCCUUGGAAACUUGGGAGUGCCUUCGGGAGCGCAGUGACAGGUGGUGCAUGGCUGUCGUCAGCUCGUGUCGUGAGAUGUUGGGUUAAGUCCCGCAACGAGCGCAACCCACGUCUUUAGUUGCCAGCAUUGAGUUGGGCACUCUAGAGAGACUGCCGGUGAUAAACCGGAGGAAGGUGUGGAUGACGUCAAGUCAUCAUGCCCCUUACAUCCUGGGCUACACACGUACUACAAUGCUACGGACAAAGGGCAGCAAACUCGCGAGAGCUAGCAAAUCCCAUAAACCGUGGCUCAGUUCAGAUCGUAGGCUGCAACUCGCCUACGUGAAGGAGGAAUCGCUAGUAAUCGCAGGUCAGCAUACUGCGGUGAAUACGUUCCCGGGCCUUGUACACACCGCCCGUCACACCAUGGAAGUUGGCCAUGCCCGAAGUCGUUACUCCAACCCUUGUGGAGGAGGAUGCCGAAGGUGGGGCUGAUGACUGGGGUGAAGUCGUAACAAGGUAGCCGUACCGGAAGGUGC